rnacentral:rRNA from 1 species
AGAGUUUGAUCAUGGCUCAGGAUGAACGCUAGCUACAGGCUUAACACAUGCAAGUCGAGGGGAAACGACAUCGAAAGCUUGCUUUUGAUGGGCGUCGACCGGCGCACGGGUGAGUAACGCGUAUCCAACCUGCCCACCACUUAGGGAUAACCUUGCGAAAGUAAGACUAAUACCCAAUGACGUCUCUAGAAGACAUCUGAAGGAGAUUAAAGAUUUAUCGGUGAUGGAUGGGGAUGCGUCUGAUUAGCUUGUUGGCGGGGUAACGCCACAGGCGACGAUCAGUAGGGGUUCUGAGAGGAAGGUCCCCCANAUUGGAACUGAGACACGGUCCAAACUCCUACGGGAGGCA